rnacentral:rRNA from 5 species
GUUGACCUCGAAUCAGGUAGGACUACCCGCUGAACUUAAGCAUAUC